rnacentral:lncRNA from 10 species
CCACAACCCAUCUGACUCGACACUGAUUUUUACAGCUUUGCAAAUAGUUGCCUUAGUUCCCUUCCCCUGAAUGCAUUAUAAAGUUAAAGGGAGAAAAAGAAGUCUUUAAAAAAUCCCCCAGCUAUCUUAAUUAACAUGCAGAAUGCUUUUCUGGCAGUGCACAGGCUGUGAUAAAACGGGAAGCUUCUUAACACAACAUAUAUUUAAUCUGUGGCAUUCGCUUCCACAUGAAAUUCAAUCAGAUAUUUUAAGGGAGUUAACAAGGGCUCUCAGAUCGAACUGUGAAUAAAUGCAGGUGUGAUAAAUACACUCAAGCUACUGAGAUGUUUUAUCAAAUGAUAAAGGUGUUGAGUGGGGUGGGGUUGAAGGACAAACCUUAAUUCUAAUUCUGUACGUUGUCAAAGAGGGUAGGAGAAUUUAUUAGACAAUGCCAGGGCGAUCUAAUGACCCAUUGCCUCUGAAAAAUCAAUUAAACUUGCUCAUUUGUUCUGUUUUUCCAGGAAUCUUUAAUUCAAGUCUGCCGUAUGCCAGGCACGAGGGAGGCAGUGACCAACCAAUAACGCAGUUCCAGUCUCUGCCCUCAGCCCCAGCUCUGCCUGAUGAAACUCACAAUCUAAUAGGGAAAGGUGGAUAAUAAACAAGUUUCAUCUGCUACAAAUCUGUGGAGAAAGGAUGGUUUGGCUGCUGGUGUGAGGAGAAUAGUUCACUACAGGGAGAAGAAUAAAGCCACAUCUUCCAUCACAUACAAAUGCAAACACCUAACAGAUCCAAGACCUCGCUAUGUGAAAGCCAACAGAAAUAAAGAGUUAAUAGGAAGGAAGGAGGGGAAUAUCUUUGUGUUGUUGGGAUGAGAAGGGUGUCUUAACAUAAUUCAAAAACAUAACCCUCGGAUGAAAACUGGGCAAAUCUGACUAUAUCAAAAUUAAGAAUUUUUUUAAAAGAAUGCUUUAGACAAAGAAAACAGAUAGGUGAAGACUUGGAGCAGAUUUUGCGUUGUCUAAAGCCAAAAGAUAAUAUCUAUAAUAAGAGCUGGCAAACUACAGCCCACAG